rnacentral:rRNA from 1 species
AGCGAACGCUGGCGGCAGGCUUAACACAUGCAAGUCGAACGGGCGUAGCAAUACGUCAGUGGCAGACGGGUGAGUAACGCGUGGGAACGUACCUUUUGGUUCGGAACAACCCAGGGAAACUUGGGCUAAUACCGGAUAAGCCCUUACGGGGAAAGAUUUAUCGCCGAAAGAUCGGCCCGCGUCUGAUUAGCUAGUUGGUGAGGUAACGGCUCACCAAGGCGACGAUCAGUAGCUGGUCUGAGAGGANGAUCAGCCACAUUGGGACUGAGACACGGCCCAAACUCCUACGGGAGGCAGCAGUGGGGAAUAUUGGACAAUGGGCGCAAGCCUGAUCCAGCCAUGCCGCGUGAGUGAUGAAGGCCCUAGGGUUGUAAAGCUC